AGCUUUGUGCAGAGGCAAUAUCGUAGCCAAUGAGGUUUAUCCAAGGCGUGAUUAUUGCUAAUUGAAAAAUAUUCAUCAUAGUAACAC
rnacentral:snRNA from 1 species